CGUCAACGGUAUUUUUUCAUACAGUAAAGUUGUCACUUCUCAAAAGUACACUUCAUUGCAUGGUCAGAUGUGAUUAUUAUUGUUUUCUGAAUUUGGAGAGCAGAGUUUGGCAUACAGGCAUACCACUGACUGAGGAGCCAGAAAAUGUUUUAGAGUCCAGGUACAUUUUUAUGGCUAAAUAUUUACUCUAAUCUAAAUUGUAUGUUUUGGUCCUGGUUAUAGCAUGCAUUUCCUGAAAAUGACUGCUGAGGAGCAGCAUGAGUCUCCAGAUGAGGAGGAGAUCAAUUAUUUGAGAAAAACAAUAGGUUCAGGAAAAGGAGACGGCUCUGAUGAGGAAUAUAUUCCUCACCUUUGUUUAUGGACAACUUCAGACUUCGAGAACUUCCAAAAUCACAUCCUGAUGUUUGCAGGAAAGCAUUUUGGCUUUAGCCCACCUGUAUACACAGCUCAGACGUUGCUUGUAACACUUGGUUACAACCACCGCCUCCCUGCACG